CCUACGGGCGGCAGCAGUAGGGAAUAUUCCGCAAUGGAGGAAACUCUGACCCAGCAACGCCGCGUGAAGGAUGAAGGUUUUCGGAUCGUAAACUUCUGUCGCGAGGGAUGAAGAAUGAUGGUACCUCGUAAGACAGCACCGGCAAACUACGUCCCAGCAGCCGCGGUAAUACGUAGGGGGCGAGCGUUGUCCGGAAUGACUGGGCGUAAAGGGAGCGUAGGCGGCAUAAUAAGUUAGAUGUGAAAGCCCGCGGCUCAACCGCGGAAUUGCACAUAAAACUGGUAAGCUGGAGUGCAGGAGAGGUAAGUGGAAUUCCCGGUGUAGCGGUGGAAUGCGUAGAGAUCGGGAGGAACACCAGAGGCGAAGGCGACUUACUGGACUGUAACUGACGCUGAGGCUCGAAAGCGUGGGGAGCAAACAGGAUCAGAUACCCCUGUAGUC
rnacentral:rRNA from 1 species